rnacentral:rRNA from 1 species
UCUCUGGUGUUGAAGGCCCUGCAAAGCAGCAUCGCGGUGGCGGAGCGUCGUUUGCGACGCCCAACACACAAAACAAGCGGUGAGUGCUUUGGGGUGGGGUGACUGCGUACCUUUUGUAUAAUGGGUCAGCGACUUAUAUUCUGUAGCAAGGUUAACCGUAUAGGGGAGCCGAAGGGAAACCGAGUCUUAACUGGGCGUUAAGUUGCAGGGUAUAGACCCGAAACCCGGUGAUCUAGCCAUGGGCAGGUUGAAGGUUGGGUAACACUAACUGGAGGACCGAACCGACUAAUGUUGAAAAAUUAGCGGAUGACUUGUGGCUGGGGGUGAAAGGCCAAUCAAACCGGGAGAUAGCUGGUUCUCCCCGAAAGCUAUUUAGGUAGCGCCUCGUGAACUCAUCUUCGGGGGUAGAGCACUGUUUCGGCUAGGGGGUCAUCCCGACUUACCAACCCGAUGCAAACUGCGAAUACCGAAGAAUGUUAUCACGGGAGACACACGGCGGGUGCUAACGUCCGUCGUGAAGAGGGAAACAACCCAGACCGCCAGCUAAGGUCCCAAAGUCACAGUUAAGUGGGAAACGAUGUGGGAAGGCUCAGACAGCCAGGAUGUUGGCUUAGAAGCAGCCAUCAUUUAAAGAAAGCGUAAUAGCUCACUGGUCGAGUCGGCCUGCGCGGAAGAUGUAACGGGGCUAAACUGUGCACCGAAGCUGCGGCAGCGACGCUUAUGCGUUGUUGGGUAGGGGAGCGUUCUGUAAGCCUGCGAAGGUGUCCUGUGAGGGAUGCUGGAGGUAUCAGAAGUGCGAAUGCUGACAUAAGUAACGAUAAUGCGGGUGAAAAGCCCGCUCGCCGGAAGACCAAGGGUUCCUGUCCAACGUUAAUCGGGGCAGGGUGAGUCGACCCCUAAGGCGAGGCCGAAAGGCGUAGUCGAUGGGAAACGGGUUAAUAUUCCCGUACUUGGUGUUACUGCGAAGGGGGGACGGAGAAGGCUAUGUUGGCCGGGCGACGGUUGUCCCGGUUUAAGCGUGUAGGCUGGUUUUCCAGGCAAAUCCGGAAAAUCAAGGCUGAGGCGUGAUGACGAGGCACUACGGUGCUGAAGCAACAAAUGCCCUGCUUCCAGGAAAAGCCUCUAAGCAUCAGGUAACAUCAAAUCGUACCCCAAACCGACACAGGUGGUCAGGUAGAGAAUACCAAGGCGCUUGAGAGAACUCGGGUGAAGGAACUAGGCAAAAUGGUGCCGUAACUUCGGGAGAAGGCACGCUGACACGUAGGUGAAGUGAUUUACUCA